UAAUACAUAAGUAACCUGCCCUAGACAGGGGGAUAACUAUUGGAAACGAUAGCUAAGACCGCAUAGGUACGGACACUGCAUGGUGACCGUAUUAAAAGUGCCUCAAAGCACUGGUAGAGGAUGGACUUAUGGCGCAUUAGCUGGUUGGCGGGGUAACGGCCCACCAAGGCGACGAUGCGUAGCCGACCUGAGAGGGUGACCGGCCACACUGGGACUGAGACACGGCUCAG
rnacentral:rRNA from 1 species